CACGUCGGGCGCAAGCGUUGUCCGGAAUUAUUGGGCGUAAAGAGCUCGUAGGCGGUCUGUUGCGUCCGCUGUGAAAACUCGGGGCUUAACCCCGAGCCUGCAGUGGAUACGGGCAGACUAGAGGUAGGUAGGGGAGAAUGGAAUUCCCGGUGUAGCGGUGAAAUGCGCAGAUAUCGGGAGGAACACCGGUGGCGAAGGCGGGUCUCUGGGCCGAUACUGACGCUGAGGAGCGAAAGCGUGGGGAGCGAACAGG
rnacentral:rRNA from 1 species